rnacentral:rRNA from 1 species
GCAGUGGGGAAUUUUGGACAAUGGGCGAAAGCCUGAUCCAGCAAUGCCGCGUGUGUGAAGAAGGCCUUCGGGUUGUAAAGCACUUUUGUCCGGAAAGAAAUCCUUGGCUCUAAUACAGUCGGGGGAUGACGGUACCGGAAGAAUAAGCACCGGCUAACUACGUGCCAGCAGCCGCGGUAAUACGUAGGGUGCGAGCGUUAAUCGGAAUUACUGGGCGUAAAGCGUGCGCAGGCGGUUUGCUAAGACCGAUGUGAAAUCCCCGGGCUCAACCUGGGAACUGCAUUGGUGACUGGCAGGCUAGAGUAUGGCAGAGGGGGGUAGAAUUCCACGUGUAGCAGUGAAAUGCGUAGAGAUGUGGAGGAAUACCGAUGGCGAAGGCAGCCCCCUGGGCCAAUACUGACGCUCAUGCACGAAAGCGUGGGGAGCAAACAGGAUUAGAUACCCUGGUAGUCCACGCCCUAAACGAUGUCAACUAGUUGUUGGGGAUUCAUUUCCUUAGUAACGUAGCUAACGCGUGAAGUUGACCGCCUGGGGAGUACGGUCGCAAGAUUAAAACUCAAAGGAAUUGACGGGGACCCGCACAAGCGGUGGAUGAUGUGGAUUAAUUCGAUGCAACGCGAAAAACCUUACCUACCCUUGACAUGGUCGGAAUCCCGCUGAGAGGUGGGAGUGCUCGAAAGAGAACCGGCGCACAGGUGCUGCAUGGCUGUCGUCAGCUCGUGUCGUGAGAUGUUGGGUUAAGUCCCGCAACGAGCGCAACCCUUGUCCUUAGUUGCUACGCAAGAGCACUCUAAGGAGACUGCCGGUGACAAACCGGAGGAAGGUGGGGAUGACGUCAAGUCCUCAUGGCCCUUAUGGGUAGGGCUUCACACGUCAUACAAUGGUCGGAACAGAGGGUUGCCAACCCGCGAGGGGGAGCUAAUCCCAGAAAACCGAUCGUAGUCCGGAUUGCACUCUGCAACUCGAGUGCAUGAAGCUGGAAUCGCUAGUAAUCGCGGAUCAGCAUGCCGCGGUGAAUACAUCCCGGGCCUUGUACACACCGC